AUGCAGUCCAAGACCUUUUGCCUUUCUCUCCCCCUUACCUGCAUCUCUCCACAUUGCUCCACGCUGUGCACAGCACUGAGGGGAUGCAUGGAUUGGGGUAGGGCACAGAGAGCUUCUUUGGCUCAUUCCUAUUGUCACCGUCCCAGCACCUGCACAGAGGGGCUGCCCCUGCCCCCCAGCAGGGCCCAAUUGCUGCCCACAGCCCCCCAGCACCCACUGCAGGCACCCACCCCAGACACUCCGUUACAGCACCCAGCCCUCACCUGCCCCCUGCACCUGUCCCAGGCUCCCAUCCUGAGCAACCUCAGUACCCACUCCCAGCACCUACCUCAUGCAUGCACCCUCAGCACUCACCCAUGGCAUCCCCCCCCAGCACCCACUACUGGUGCCCAUUCUCAGCUCACCCCUUCCAGCACCCAUCUCAGGCUCCUGUGCAAUGCACUCUCUCCUUCACCACCUCCAGUGCCCACUCCCAGUGCCCACUCCAUGCACCCACCCAAGGAACUCACUUCCAGCACCCAUUCCUCUUGCACAUCCACAGCACCCAUCCCAGGUUCCCAUGCAAUGUACCCUCUCACCUCUACCAACCCUGCACCCACUUCCAGCAUCCAUUCUGUGCCAUCACUUUCAGCACUAAUCUCUCAUGACCUACUCCAUGUACCCCUCUGGAGCACCCAUCCCACACACGCACUCUUUGCAUCCAUUCCAUGUACGCCCCUGCAGGACCCACCCCAUGCAUCCAUCCCAUGCAUGCACCCUUGUCACCCCAAGUACCCUCUGCAGCCCUCACCCCAUGCAUCCACCCCCACGUACCCCCCUGCAGCACCCAUCCCAUGCACAUACCCCACACAUCCAUUCCAUGAAUAUCCCUGCAGCAUCCACCCCUUGCACCCCCCGCAACAACCACCACAUGCACACACCCCGUGCACCCCUCUGCAGCACCCCCCUGCAGCACCCACCCCACGCACCCCCCUACAGCAUCUAUCUCAUGCAUGCACCCCAACAUACCUCCCUCCAUCACACCCCUGCAGCACCCACCCAUGCAUCCGCCCCACGCACCCCCGUGCAACACCCGCCCCACGCACGCACCCCACACACCCCCGUCAGUACCCACCUCCUCCACCCCCCUGCAGCACCCACCCCAUGCAUCCACCCCAUGCAUCC
rnacentral:lncRNA from 1 species